rnacentral:rRNA from 1 species
UACGGAGGAUGCAAGCGUUAUCCGGAUUUAUUGGGUUUAAAGGGUGCGUAGGCUGUUGAGUAAGUCAGUGGUGAAAUGUAUCAGCUUAACUGAUAAAUUGCCGUUGAUACUGCUUAGCUUGAAUACUGUUGCCGUGGGAGGAAUGUGUAGUGUAGCGGUGAAAUGCAUAGAUAUUACACAGAACACCGAUUGCGAAGGCAUCUCACGAAACAGGCAUUGACGCUGAGGCACGAAAGUGCGGGGAUCAAACAGG